AUUGAACGCUGGCGGCAGGCUUAACACAUGCAAGUCGAACGGUAGCAGGAGAAAGCUUGCUUUCUUGCUGACGAGUGGCGGACGGGUGAGUAAUGCUUGGGAAUCUGGCUUAUGGAGGGGGAUAACUACGGGAAACUGUAGCUAAUACCGCGUAGAAUCGGAAGAUGAAAGUGCGGGACCGCAAGGCCGCAUGCCAUGAGAUGAGCCCAAGUGGGAUUAGGUAGUUGGUGGGGUAAAGGCCUACCAAGCCUGCGAUCUCUAGCUGGUCUGAGAGGAUGGCCAGCCACACUGGAACUGAGAGACGGUCCAGACUCCUACGGGAGGCAGCAGUGGGGAAUAUUGCGCAAUGGGGGGAACCCUGACGCAGCCAUGCCGCGUGAAUGAAGAAGGCCUUCGGGUUGUAAAGUUCUUUCGGUAUUGAGGAAGGAGUGUAUGUUAAUAGCAUGCAUUAUUGACGUUAAAUACAGAAGAAGCACCGGCUAACUCCGUGCCAGCAGCCGCGGUAAUACGGAGGGUGCGAGCGUUAAUCGGAAUAACUGGGCGUAAAGGGCACGCAGGCGGUUAUUUAAGUGAGGUGUGAAAGCCCCGGGCUUAACCUGGGAAUUGCAUUUCAGACUGGGUAACUAGAGUACUUUAGGGAGGGGUAGAAUUCCACGUGUAGCGGUGAAAUGCGUAGAGAUGUGGAGGAAUACCGAAGGCGAAGGCAGCCCCUUGGGAAUGUACUGACGCUCAUGUGCGAAAGCGUGGGGAGCAAANNGG
rnacentral:rRNA from 1 species